rnacentral:rRNA from 1 species
UUAAGCGACCAAGCGUACACGGUGGAUGCCCUGGCAGUCAGAGGCGAUGAAGGACGUGCUAAUCUGCGAAAAGCGCCGGUAAGGUGAUAUGAACCGUUAUAACCGGCGAUGUCCGAAUGGGGAAACCCAGUGUGACUCGUCACACUAUCAUUAACUGAAUCCAUAGGUUAAUGAGGCGAACCGGGGGAACUGAAACAUCUAAGUACCCCGAGGAAAAGAAAUCAACCGAGAUUCCCCCAGUAGCGGCGAGCGAACGGGGAGGAGCCCAGAGCCUGAAUCAGCAUGUGUGUUAGUGGAAGCGUCUGGAAAGGCGCGCGAUACAGGGUGACAGCCCCGUACACAAAAGCGCAUGUGCUGUGAGCUCGAUGAGUAGGGCGGGACACGUGGUAUCCUGUCUGAAUAUGGGGGGGACCAUCCUCCAAGGCUAAAUACUCCUGACUGACCGAUAGUGAACCAGUACCGUGAGGGAAAGGCGAAAAGAACCCCGGCGAGGGGAGUGAAACAGAACCUGAAACCGUGUACGUACAAGCAGUGGGAGCCUCUUUUAUGGGGUGACUGCGUACCUUUUGUAUAAUGGGUCAGCGACUUAUAUUCUGUAGCAAGGUUAACCGAAUAGGGGAGCCGGAGGGAAACCGAGUCUUAACCGGGCGUUAAGUUGCAGGGUAUAGACCCGAAACCCGGUGAUCUAGCCAUGGGCAGGUUGAAGGUUGGGUAACACUAACUGGAGGACCGAACCGACUAAUGUUGAAAAAUUAGCGGAUGACCUGUGGCUGGGGGUGAAAGGCCAAUCAAACCGGGAGAUAGCUGGUUCUCCCCGAAAGCUAUUUAGGUAGCGCCUCGUGAACUCAUCUCCGGGGGUAGAGCACUGUUUCGGCCAGGGGGCCAUCCCGGCUUACCAACCCGAUGCAAACUGCGAAUACCGGAGAAUGUUAUCACGGGAGACACACGGCGGGUGCUAACGUCCGUCGUGAAGAGGGAAACAACCCAGACCGCCAGCUAAGGUCCCAAAGUCAUGGUUAAGUGGGAAACGAUGUGGGAAGGCCCAGACAGCCAGGAUGUUGGCUUAGAAGCAGCCAUCAUUUAAAGAAAGCGUAAUAGCUCACUGGUCGAGUCGGCCUGCGCGGAAGAUGUAACGGGGCUAAACCAUGCACCGAAGCUGCGGCAGCGAACGUAUCACUUAAAGCGAUUCAGCGGAUGACGAUUGACGGAGCGAAGCGACGUCAAAGCGUUUUACAACGUCGAGUCGGUUUAAGGAUACGUUCGUUGGGUAGGGGAGCGUUCUGUAAGCCUGCGAAGGUGGCCUGUGAGGGUUGCUGGAGGUAUCAGAAGUGCGAAUGCUGACAUAAGUAACGAUAAUGCGGGUGAAAAACCCGCACGCCGGAAGACCAAGGGUUCCUGUCCAACGUUAAUCGGGGCAGGGUGAGUCGACCCCUAAGGCGAGGCCGAAAGGCGUAGUCGAUGGGAAACAGGUUAAUAUUCCUGUACCUGGUGUUACUGCGAAGGGGGGACGGAGAAGGCUAUGUUGGCCGGGCGACGGUUGUCCCGGUUUAAGCGUGUAGGCUGGUUUUCCAGGCAAAUCCGGAAAAUCAAGGCUGAGGCGUGACGACGAGGCACUACGGUGCUGAAGCAACAAAUGCCCUGCUUCCAGGAAAAGCCUCUAAGCCUCAGGUAACAUCAGAUCGUACCCGAAACCGACACAGGUGGUCAGGUAGAGAAUACCAAGGCGCUUGAGAGAACCCGGGUGAAGGAACUAGGCAAAAUGGUGCCGUAACUUCGGGAGAAGGCACGCUGACAUGUAGGUGAAGCGGUUUACCCGUGGAGCUGAAGUCAGUCGAAGAUACCAGCUGGCUGCAACUGUUUAUUAAAAACACAGCACUGUGCAAACACGAAAGUGGACGUAUACGGUGUGACGCCUGCCCGGUGCCGGAAGGUUAAUUGAUGGGGUCAGCGCAAGCGAAGCUCCUGAUCGAAGCCCCGGUAAACGGCGGCCGUAACUAUAACGGUCCUAAGGUAGCGAAAUUCCUUGUCGGGUAAGUUCCGACCUGCACGAAUGGCGUAAUGAUGGCCAGGCUGUCUCCACCCGGGACUCAGUGAAAUUGAACUCGCUGUGAAGAUGCAGUGUACCCGCGGCAAGACGGAAAGACCCCGUGAACCUUUACUAUAGCUUGACACUGAACACUGGUCCUUGAUGUGCAGGAUAGGUGGGAGGCUUUGAAGUGUGGACGCCAGUCUGCAUGGAGCCGUCCUUGAAAUACCACCCUUUAAUGGCUGGUGUUCUAACGUAGACCCGUGAACCGGGUUGCGGACAGUGUCUGGUGGGUAGUUUGACUGGGGCGGUCUCCUCCUAAAGCGUAACGGAGGAGCACGAAGGUUGGCUAAUCCUGGUCGGACAUCAGGAGGUUAGUGCAAUGGCAUAAGCCAGCUUGACUGCGAGCGUGACGGCGCGAGCAGGUGCGAAAGCAGGUCAUAGUGAUCCGGUGGUUCUGAAUGGAAGGGCCAUCGCUCAACGGAUAAAAGGUACUCCGGGGAUAACAGGCUGAUACCGCCCAAGAGUUCAUAUCGACGGCGGUGUUUGGCACCUCGAUGUCGGCUCAUCACAUCCUGGGGCUGAAGUAGGUCCCAAGGGUAUGGCUGUUCGCCAUUUAAAGUGGUACGCGAGCUGGGUUUAGAACGUCGUGAGACAGUUCGGUCCCUAUCUGCCGUGGGCGCUGGAGAACUGAGGGGGGCUGCUCCUAGUACGAGAGGACCGGAGUGGACGCAUCACUGGUGUUCGGGUUGUCAUGCCAAUGGCACUGCCCGGUAGCUAAAUGCGGAAGAGAUAAGUGCUGAAAGCAUCUAAGCACGAAACUUGCCCCGAGAUGAGUUCUCCCUGAGACUACGAGUCUCCUGAAGGAACGUUGAAGACGACGACGUUGAUAGGCCGGGUGUGUAAGCGCAGCGAUGCGUUGAGCUAACCGGUACUAAUGAACCGUGAGGCUUAACCUU